CCCUUAGAUGUUCUGGGCCGCACGCGCGCUACACUGACUACUUCAACGAGUUGUUUCCUUGAUCGAAAGGUCUGGGUAAUCUUUGAAAGGUAGUCGUGAUGGGGAUAGAUCCUUGCAAUUUUUGAUCUUCAACGAGGAAUUCCUAGUAAACGCAGAUCAUCAAUCUGCAUUGAUUACGUCCCUGCCCUUUGUACACACCGCCCGUCGCACCUACCGAUUGGAUGGUCCGGUGAAGCCUCGGGAUUGUGGUUCUUGCCGCUUUAUUGUGGCGUGACCGCGAGAACUUGUCUAAACCUUAUCAUCUAGAGGAAGGUGAAGUCGUAACA
rnacentral:rRNA from 1 species